rnacentral:rRNA from 1 species
AACGAACGCUGGCGGCAGGCUUAACACAUGCAAGUCGAACGCCCCGCAAGGGGAGUGGCAGACGGGUGAGUAACGCGUGGGAACAUACCCUUUCCUGCGGAAUAGCUCCGGGAAACUGGAAUUAAUACCGCAUACGCCCUACGGGGGAAAGAUUUAUCGGGGAAGGAUUGGCCCGCGUUGGAUUAGCUAGUUGGUGGGGUAAAGGCCUACCAAGGCGACGAACCAUAGCUGGUCUGAGAGGAUGAUCAGCCACAUUGGGAUUGAGACACGGCCCAAACUCCUACGGGAGGCAGCAGUGGUGAAUAUUGGACAAUGGGCUCAAGCCUGAUCCAGCCAUGCCGCGUGAGUGAUGAAGGCCUUAGGGUUGUAAAGCUCUUUCACCGGAGAAGAUAAUGACGGUAUCCGGAGAAGAAGCCCCGGCUAACUUCGUGCCAGCAGCCGCCGUAACAC